UACGUAGGGUGCAAGCGUUAAUCGGAAUUACUGGGCGUAAAGCGCGUGCAGGCGGGCCAGCAAGUCUGAUGUGAAAGCCCCGGGCUUAACCUGGGAAGUGCAUUGGAAACUGCUGGUCUUGAGUGCUGGAGAGGAAGGGGGAAUUCCCGGUGUAGAGGUGAAAUUCGUAGAGAUCGGGAGGAAUACCAGUGGCGAAGGCGCCCUUCUGGACGGCAACUGACGCUGAGACGCGAAAGCGUGGGGAGCAAACAGG
rnacentral:rRNA from 1 species